rnacentral:lncRNA from 1 species
CUCCCGCAUUGCAGGCAGAUUCUUUACUAACUGAGCCACAAGGAAGCCCAAGAAUACUGGAGCGGGUAGCCUAUCCCUUCUCUAGCAGAUCUUCCUGACCCAGGGAUCAAACCGGGGUCUCCUGUGUUGCAGGUGGAUUCUCUACCAACUGAGCUAUGAAGGAAGUCCAGGGAUUAUAUCAGGUAAAUACAGAUAAAACACCCUGACUUUGUGGAAUGUCAGAUGGAAUGCCGGUGUAUUGAGUGUGAGCUCAGAGAAGAGAGGCUCUGCAGAUAUGUGUAGACUUCCACGUUUUCUGAUUCACAGAUUGCUUUGAAUCUAUUUUGUGAUGUCAAACUAUAUGAAUGUUUUACGAAAUGAUGUGUGCCAUUCAAACAAAAGACAACACAACUGUGGACUGUUUCUGGAGAAACGAGCUGAGAUAAGUCUCCCAGGGGUGCUACUCCCUUUGUGCCUGCCAGUAGUGGGAGCCACGUUGAACAAACCCACAUUUACGUGAGACAAAGCACAAGUACGUUUUCACCCUCAGUUCUUGUCACAGAAACUGAGGACAUUUAUUUUUUUUUCUGUUAGAAUGAGUUCUGAGCUGACAGAGAAAAAAAGAUCCUGCUGCCUCAACACCAGGAUGAGAAAGUCAAGUGCAGCAAUAAAUGGAUUUAAAGGCAUCUAACUAACCUUAUCUGUUACUGCUGAGACGUCAACUUCAAGCCAGCCGGAGCAGCAGGGCCUGAAAGAACCCACCCAUGCCUGAGCAUGCAUAAUAAUGGAUAUAAUAAUACUCUGCAUUUAUAUAGCACUUUUACACUUGGAUCUUCACAAUAACCCAGAAAGCACUGGCUUGGAAACUGUGAGAUUUGACAUGAAUUCUCUGAUGGAAGAGAUCCAGUUGCAUUAUGUGAUAGCAACCAGAUCAUAUGGAAUGCAAAAAAAAAGCUGA